rnacentral:rRNA from 1 species
AUUGAACGCUGGCGGCAUGCUUUACACAUGCAAGUCGAACGGCAGCGGGGGCUUCGGCCUGCCGGCGAGUGGCGAACGGGUGAGUAAUGCAUCGGAACGUGCCCAUGUCGUGGGGGAUAACGUAUCGAAAGGUACGCUAAUACCGCAUACGCCCUGAGGGGGAAGGCGGGGGAUUCUUCGGAACCUCGCGCGAUUGGAGCGGCCGAUGUCGGAUUAGCUAGUAGGUGAGGUAAAGGCUCACCUAGGCGACGAUCCGUAGCGGGUCUGAGAGGAUGAUCCGCCACACUGGGACUGAGACACGGCCCAGACUCCUACGGGAGGCAGCAGUGGGGAAUUUUGGACAAUGGGCGCAAGCCUGAUCCAGCCAUGCCGCGUGAGUGAAGAAGGCCUUCGGGUUGUAGAGCUCUUUCGGCCGGGAAGAAAUCGUGUUCUCUAACAUAGGACAUGGAUGACGGUACCGGACUAAGAAGCACCGGCUAACUACGUGCCAGCAGCCGCCGUAAGAC